CUGGAGACAGGUGGCUGCAUGGCUGUCGUCAGCUCGUGUCGUGAGAUGUUGGGUUAAGUCCCGCAACGAGCGCAACCCUGCCUUUAGUUGCCAGCAGUUCGGCUGGGCACUCUAAAGGGACUGCCGGUGUUAAACCGGAGGAAGGUGGGGAUGACGUCAAGUCCUCAUGGCCUUUAUGACCAGGGCUACACACGUACUACAAUGGCCGAUACAAAGGGCAGCGACACUGCGAGGUGAAGCCAAUCCCGUAAAAUCGGUCUCAGUCCGGAUUGGAGUCUGCAACUCGACUCCAUGAAGUUGGAAUCGCUAGUAAUCGUGGAUCAGCAUGCCACGGUGAAUACGUUCCCGGGCCUU
rnacentral:rRNA from 1 species